UACGGAGGGUGCGAGCGUUGUCCGGAAUCAUUGGGCGUAAAGGGCGCGUAGGUGGCCCGGUCAGUCUUUGGUGAAAGCGCGGGGCUCAACCCUGCGUCGGCCAGGGAUACUGCCGCGGCUCGAGCACUGUAGAGGCAGGCGUAAUUCCGGGUGUAGCGGUGGAAUGCGUAGAGAUCCGGAAGAACACCGGUGGCGAAGGCGGCCUGCUGGGCAGUUUAGCUGACACUGAGGCGCGACAGCGUGGGGAGCAAACAGG
rnacentral:rRNA from 1 species